ACUCCUACGGAAGGCAGCAGUAGGGAAUCUUCCACAAUGGGCGCAAGCCUGAUGGAGCAACACCGCGUGAGUGAAGAAGGGUUUCGGCUCGUAAAGCUCUGUUGUUAAAGAAGAACACGUAUGAGAGUAACUGUUCAUACGUUGACGGUAUUUAACCAGAAAGUCACGGCUAACUACGUGCCAGCAGCCGCGGUAAUACGUAGGUGGCAAGCGUUAUCCGGAUUUAUUGGGCGUAAAGAGAGUGCAGGCGGUUUUCUAAGUCUGAUGUGAAAGCCUUCGGCUUAACCGGAGAAGUGCAUCGGAAACUGGAUAACUUGAGUGCAGAAGAGGGUAGUGGAACUCCAUGUGUAGCGGUGGAAUGCGUAGAUAUAUGGAAGAACACCAGUGGCGAAGGCGGCUACCUGGUCUGCAACUGACGCUGAGACUCGAAAGCAUGGGUAGCGAACAGGAUUAGAUACCCUGGUAGGAUAGCG
rnacentral:rRNA from 1 species